UGCCAGCCGCCGCGGUAACACCAGCGCCACGAGUGGGGACCACGUUUAUUGGGCCUAAAGCGUCCGUAGCCGGUUUGUUAAAUCUUUUGUGAAAUCGUAGGGCUUAACCUUACGGCUUGCAAGAGACACUGGCAAACUAGGAACCGGGAUGGGCAUGAGGUAUUCCAGGGGUAGCGGUAAAAUGUUAUAAUCCCUGGAGGACCACCUGUGGCGAAGGCGUCAUGCUAGAACGGAUUCGACGGUGAGGGACGAAAGCCAGGGGAGCGAUCCGGAUUAGAUA
rnacentral:rRNA from 1 species